GUCUCCAUAGCUCAGUGGAUUAGAGCGUGCGAUUGCAAUCACUGGUGACUGCUUACUAGCUAUCUGCAAUCACAGGACUGCUGCCAAGCAUCGCGAGGCCCCGUGUUCGAACCACGGUGGGGACU
rnacentral:tRNA from 1 species